UAUUUGUAAAUAAAUUAGUUUCCAUUGAAUUUUGAAGUUAAAUUAUCUGUUUGAGUGUACUGUGUAAUUUACCGUGCACGCAUUGCAUGUCAGAGGGUAGGGGGGACCCAGGCUUGUAACAGGCCCGUCCCAAAUAAAGUGCUACAGUUGGGCCGGCCAGACUGCAGCAGAGAGGUCCUGUGUGCAUGAUGUGCCCAGCAUGUGCCAAAGUCAUAUUGUUUACAAAUGUCAUGUCAUCGGUCAUAGGACUAGAUGAACAGAUAAAGUGCCACAUUUUAGAUGAAUUGUGUCAAGUGUUAGACACAUUGACUUGCGAAAUGUUGCAACAUUUUCCAUAGACAUUGUUCAACAAUAGUUGGCCCAGCCCAACUGUAGUGCUGCAGUUGGGACUGUCCCGACUAUAGUUGGGACUUAUGCUGUAGUUGUGGCGUAACAUAUGUAUGUGCCCAGCAUGUGCCAAAGUCACAUUGCUUACAGUGUUAUCGCACAGAUUGACCCUCCUUCUAUAACAGUCAAAAAUUUCUUCCACUUCAUUUGCCCCAGUACACAAACCCAUAUGGGAAAUUUGACUGGUUUUGACUGAUGUGACAACUUUAUACUAUAUUCUCUGCUCUGGCAAGUACUCAGGUAGGUACAUGUAACUCAUACGUGUCAAGUUCACAACAUUUGGUCUUGUUUCAGAUGCCCUUCUCUGAACAGGGGGCAGAGCUAUUGGACAACUAAUUUGAAACGUUUCGUUCAUUUCGUUUUGCAUCGCGUCGUAUACGUGUAAUAAUUUCUAUACUUGUAGAGGUCAUGGAAAUUGCCCCCCCUUUUUUUUAAUUGUUGGUUAACUUUUUCCCCCUUCCUAUAAUGCAUCGACCCAGAAUUGUUCUACCCUGUAACAUAAUGGACUUGACCAAAAGUGCCACAUCAGCAGGGACAGGAAGUUGCCUUCAUUGUUUCUCAUGCAAUGUUCAAGGCAACAUCAUCUUCAUUAAAGUCACAAGCUUUCCUGUAUUCCUGACUGGUGUAUUUCCAUUAUUUUUACAGUGGCAUCAUCUUCGCUGGUGUACUAUUUGUGGUACCCAUAUUCCAGAUGUGGGGAAACGAUUCAACACUGAACGAUCUGUCAAUAGAGGACCAAUCGGUUGAGCUUGGGCUGAAGGGUCAGGAGAAGCAGAGGAGGCCAGGGCAGCAGACGGUCGGGAUGGUGAUGGGAGAUGUGUGGGGAUGAAGAGAGUAGAUGAAGACAUGGAUGACGAAUCAGCGAUCAACUCGUGUUUCCACAAGCUAUCAAUCUGACUCGCCAUCUUGCGCAACAUCUGCAAAUCCUGCAGUGGGAUUGUAACCAUCUUUACUGGGGUGCUGGUGACUUUGGGUGACUGUGAUUCCUGUAUUUUGAAGAACAAGCGAAAAGACAGUUGCUUUAUUGGAAUGUUCUUUAUCUUUUGUUGUGCCGAAUUGCAAUGGAAACACACAUGAUGGCAUGUGCCCAGUAUUCACAGCUGUCCGACUCACAGCCAAGCCGCGUUGCUUGCCUGCCAUUCCUUUUGCACAGUUCUUUGUCUUGUUUACUUCCAGACAUUAUUUUGCAAAUGUUGCACUUAUUUUAGACAGGUUUGUUCUUAGUCUGUUCCUUUUCCACACAUGAGACACAGACAAAGCAAGAUGCCAACAAUGCAAUCACAUUUUGAAAUACAUAUUUUGAGUGAACUGGCUCCUUUUAGAGCCAUACAUUUUCACUGAAGAGAUUAUUUAUAUGUCACGUGGAGUUAUCGCAAACCCCAAGCCUUCAACCAUUUUAUGUCACAAUACUACAUGAAACUUUUGAGCUUUGAUGUCACAGGCGGGCCGGCUGGCACACUGGGUAUCACAAGGCGGCUAGCAUGCUUGGUGUCGCAUAAUGGCUGGCGUUAUGGUGACACUGGGCAGUAAUGGGACUGAGGACCAGGCUUUCCUUGAUGACACCAGACCAGGCGGUGACUGGCAUACAAGCAUCAAGAUGCCACGGGAGUGAGCGGAGAAACCACCGGAGUCCCCUUCUGGCUAUCCCCAGUAGAGAGUUCAGUCAGAUGUCUCUGUAUCUAAAAGAGCCAACAUGGUGGUCCGUGCCACAUUACCACAUGUUCUUACCGCUCCAAAAAAGGACUUACAAGGGCGAACUCUGCUUUCCCUUAAUUAAUACACUUAUUUUACAUGUACGUUUAAGAGUUCUAAUGCAAAACACAGACUUAUAUACAUGUAUACACACCCAUUAAUUUAACAUGUGGAAAAGCAAAGGUUUACCCCCAAAGUGAACAAAUCUAUCUCGGCAUCGAAUAUGCUUCAUGGUGCCAUAUGACCAGAUGUUCACAUAAAAAUGCAGGUGCAGGCCAAAGCUAGACUGGCUGAAAGGUUUCUCAGCUUUGAAUUAACCACAUGCACUGAUCCAAGCUAAGAAUUUCGACUUUUCAAUGACAAUGCUCUUAAACAAAGAGAAAUUGUGCAGUCCGAGUCUCUCACUUAAUCCCACUUCGAAGAAGGGAAGACCAAGGUGUUACAGCUUGGGCAGACAUGAAAGAGAUAAACAUUUAUUGUCUAGCCCGAAAUUUCAGUAUAGAGGGAUAGAGAGCAAUUAAAAUGGCGCACACAGAGUAUGCAUUAGGAAAACAGAGAAAAUGGACACCAAGUAAUUUCUAACCUCAGACCAUCGUGAGGUCUGGGUUACAUUAGUAAGCUUUCACCUUACUACUGUUUCAUCUCUCAGUCAUAUGCCAAAAAGUAGUAAGCUUUCACCUUACUACUGUUUCAUCUCUCAGUCAUAUGCCAAAAAGUAGUAAGCUUUCACCUUACUUACUGUUUCAUCUCUCAGUCAUAUGCCAAAAAGUAGUAAGCUUUCACCCUACUACUGUUUCAUCUCUCAGUCAUAUGCCAAAAAGUAGUGUAGCAUAAACCUAAUUGGGCUCUUGUCCUCCAAUCCAGCCAAACACUUGAAAAAGGGGACACAGUGCACUCAAGGCUUCAAAUUCCAAACUCAGUUACUUGUUUUAAUAAAUUAAGAUCUGCUACCUGCCACAAAGCUUCCAAAAACACAACUGAUCGUUCUCCACAUACAAAAGCACACUGUCUGGAAAAGUGUAACAUUGUAGCAAUUGACCCAGCCCUGGAAUCCAGCCAAGCCCUUCCUUCUACCCAACAAAAGAAGCCAACAGAAGCGAUCUAUUUAUAGCUACCUAUUUCUGGAGCACGCGCCGGCCAAAUUCCAAAACCAGGCCAGGUGCACACCCUUACCAAAAUAACCAAUUGAAAUUUCCAAUUGGAACCAAUUGGAAUUUUGCCAAUUGGAAUUUUGCCAAUUGGGAUUUUGCCAAUUGGAUUAUGCCAAUUGGAAUUUUGCCAAUUGGAUUUUCUUACUUUAAUUGACGUCAAAUUUUUCCAAAAGGAAUAAUCUCAAAAAGCGAAACUGUUAACAUUGAACAGAGUAGGCCUACAAAAAUACAUACAUACAUACACACAUUGAAGAUUAAUUGACAUUGAUUUUAUAUGAACUUGAGUUAUGUGUAUUUAUUGUACCUCAUAAUAAACAUCAAGGAGUAGUAUUCAUGCCUGAAUAAGUACUUUUAAAUCACAGAAUGCAAAAGAAGCACUUAAUUACAAUGAUAAAAUAAACAAACAUUUCCAAUGUUUUAUCCAUAAUAACUUAAACAACUGUCUCUCUGAAUGUAUAUGAUUCACCU